GAGGUCAGAGGGAGGGAGCGGACAGCCACCAUGAUGGCGGCGCCCGGGAGGCCCGGCCGGCGGCGCGCAGGAAAUAAGCAUUCAGCUGCUCAGAAGAAUGAAGAUGCUGCCCAAAGGAAAGCAGCCCUGGAGGCUGCUAUAAGAAAGAAGAUUGAAUGUGAGAAAAAAGCAUUGUAUAUUGUUGAACAACUCCUAGAAGAGAACAUUACUGAAGAGUUCCUUCUGAAUUCUGGAAAAUUUAUUACUCCAUCUCACUAUAAAGACAUUGUUGAUGAACGGUCUAUCAUCAAACUAUGUGGCUAUCCUCUGUGUCAAAAUAAACUGGAAAAUGUGCCAAAACAGAAGUACAGAAUUUCAACAAAAACGAACAGAGUUUACGAUAUCACUGAAAGGAAGUGCUUUUGCAGCAACUUUUGCUACAAAGCAUCUAAAUAUUUUGAAGCUCAAGUUUCCAAAAGUCCUGUAUGGAUGCGAGAAGAAGAAAAACCACCAGACAUAGAGCUGCUGAAGGAGGGACAGAGUGGAGAGUCUGGAGAAGAGGUGAAACUAUGUGAUGAAGUAAUUAAAGCUUCUGACAUUGAAAACCCUAGGAUAUCUUCAGAUCCCUGUGAAUCUGGUUCUCACGACACAGCCAGUGACAGCAACAGCGAUACUGAACAAGAAUUUGUUUCUUCUGUCCUACCAGGAAGUCAGUCAAGUUCAGCUAAUUUUGCACAGCAAUUGCAAACAAAGAGCAUCCUCAAAAAGAAGUGUGCUCAGAAAGUGUAUUCCAGCCCUAAAACUGAAGGCUCGGAUGUGGUAGAAGCUGCUGAACGACUAUCUAAUUGUAAAUUAGAUGCUCAAGAAGAAAUGUAUGCUUCGUCUGUUCAUAAUCAGAUAACUUCAAAAAAUACUACUCUAGGAAAAUCAAGUGCUUCAGAAAACUAUGAAAACACCUGUAGCGGUUCACAGAUAGUUUUUCUAGGUGUGAGCAAAAGAGGGGCAGAACAUCUUAAAAGAACACUAGCUAACUCAAAAGAACAUAAAAAAACUGAAAUGAGGCAUCCAGUUAAUUCCAAAGGCAGUUUAUUAGAAGUGCUUAAGCAAACACUUACGGAGUGGAGAACUGAGGAAACUUUAAAAUUUCUCUAUGGCCCAAACUACACUUCUUCAUGCUCAUCAGAAUGCACAUCAUCUGCCAAUCAGGAGAAUGAAGAACUUGAUGAGGAUGACUUAGAUGCAGCUGAUGAUCUUAACAUUGUUGCUGUAGGAGAGUCUGAAAACAGUUUGAACUAUUCUUUACCUUUCACAAGCCCAGGUGGAGUAGUUAAGCCCGUGCCUAGUUAUGAAAAGUUAAAAGAAGAAACAGAGUUCCUAGAACUCCGAGUAAAAGAGUUCUAUAAAGGAAAGUGCAUCUUGGCUGAAGAGGCAGUGACGCAUGCACAAGCAGAGGAACAUCGAAGCAAAGACAAAGAUGAUCGACAGGAAGAUCUCACCUUCCCACUUGUUGAUUCAAAUGCACAAAUGCAGAUUAGAAAGCGAAUUGUCCUUGAAAAACUGAGAAAAGCGUUACCUGCAGUUUUGGGCCCACUUCAAAUCCCUCCAGGUGAUGUUUACACGGAGCUAAAAAAUCUUGUCAAAACUUUCCGGUUAACAAACAGAAAUAUUAUUCACAAAAUGCCUGAAUGGACUCUCAUUGCUAUAGUUUUGUUUUCUGUAUUGUCUCAAAUUACUCCACUUUUCAAGAAUACUCAGACAAGCCCAAUGUAUACACAGUUCCUGACUACAUUGCUGGAAGAACUGCAUUUCAGAAAUGAAGAUCUGGAAAGUUUAACAAGAAUAUUUAGAAGGGACUGCUACUUGAAUGAAUGAGGUGACCAUCUUAACAUCUCCUACUAUCUGAAAUAGUGGCACGGAGAACAAAAGAACACCUCCUAUUAUUGGAACUUUUUUAAAAUGAAAAAUGGAAUUUAGUAUUAAUUGUACUUCUUGCACUUCUUCUUUUUCAUUUCCUUCCUAUGAAUAAGAAUUUUGAAGCUUUGUGGAGAAGCUGCCUAUAACAACAGUUGUUCAAGAUGUGCCCUCUUCAAAAAACUCACAAUCUCAAAAUACUAAACUGACAAGCUGGGUGUCAAACCACACACCCCAAGCAGCAAGCAGUGCUGAAGAAAAACAGAAUCACGCUUGAAGAAAAACAGAAGAAAUCACACAAAUUGUUUCCAAAGAAUGAAUCUGAAAUGUUUUCAUCUCUGUGGAGGCACUGUAUCUUAAGAAUGCAAAUGCCGUUUGAUGCUUUUAGUUUUUAUGCUCACUUACUUACUGUAUAAGCAGAGGCUGCUCUCGGAAAGAAGAGAUUAAUUUGAACAACACUUUGUAUUUUCUUGUUCAGAUGAGUUUUAUCUCUCUUGGAGCCAAACUGGAGCCUUGCUCUGGGACCAAGAUGCAUCUCCUUGUUGGCCAAAAAGCAGCACAGGUGUUCCUGUGCUCGUUGAGUUACACACCAGGGUAUGUGAGGCCUCUUCACUGGGAACGUGUGGUUUGUGUGCACCACGGAGCCUCUCUGCAUCAGAGCCCCCACAUGUUGCUCACUGAGAGCGCACUGGCGAGGUGGACAGGAGCUGAGCAAAGCUCCCGCCUGAGCAAGCAGGCCCGCAGCUACUGGUUUGGUGUAGCAGGUCCCUACAGGCCAGAGGGCUGUCUGAGCACAGGGGAGUGAGGUGGUUUGUCUGGGUCUUUACAGGCAGGCUGUAGCAGGACCCACAGCUCUUUCAGCUGUAGUCCUGUCUGCAAGCCAUCCCUCCUCUCACUGCAGCCAGUGAGAGGGGGAACAAGGUUUGGUCCGCAACGCUCUAGCACUACAGUGCUGAAUAUUUAUAAUUUGACUUGGCAAUAACGCUAUGAGUUACCUAAGAAGCCUCAUGAUACUGUCAUGAGCAGUAGAUGAUGUCAUUUUCAUGCUGAAAAAAUAUGUAAGACCAGCUAGCUGGUUUCUUAAUUAAACUGUCAAGCACACUUCA